rnacentral:rRNA from 1 species
CUGGCUCAGAUUGAACGCUGGCGGCAGGCUUACACAUGCAAGUCGAGCGGAGAUGAGGUGCUUGCACCUUAUCUUAGCGGCGGACGGGUGAGUAAUGCUUAGGAAUCUGCCUAUUAGUGGGGGACAACAUUCCGAAAGGGAUGCUAAUACCGCAUACGUCCUACGGGAGAAAGCAGGGGAUCUUCGGACCUUGCGCUAAUAGAUGAGCCUAAGUCGGAUUAGCUAGUUGGUGGGGUAAAGGCCUACCAAGGCGACGAUCUGUAGCGGGUCUGAGAGGAUGAUCCGCCACACUGGGACUGAGACACGGCCCAGACUCCUACGGGAGGCAGCAGUGGGGAAUAUUGGACAAUGGGGGGAACCCUGAUCCAGCCAUGCCGCGUGUGUGAAGAAGGCCUUAUGGUUGUAAAGCACUUUAAGCGAGGAGGAGGCUACUGAGACUAAUACUCUUGGAUAGUGGACGUUACUCGCAGAAUAAGCACCGGCUAACUCUGUGCCAGCAGCCGCGGUAAUACAGAGGGUGCGAGCGUUAAUCGGAUUUACUGGGCGUAAAGCGUGCGUAGGCGGCUUUUUAAGUCGGAUGUGAAAUCCCCGAGCUUAACUUGGGAAUUGCAUUCGAUACUAGGAAGCUAGAGUAUGGGAGAGGAUGGUAGAAUUCCAGGUGUAGCGGUGAAAUGCGUAGAGAUCUGGAGGAAUACCGAUGGCGAAGGCAGCCAUCUGGCCUAAUACUGACGCUGCCGUACGAAAGCAUGGGGAGCAAACAGGAUUAGAUACCCUGGUAGUCCAUGCCGUAAACGAUGUCUACUAGCCGUGGGGGCCUUGGAAGCUUAAUUGGCGCAGCUAACGCGAAUAGUUGAACGCUGGGGAAGUACGGUUG